rnacentral:rRNA from 1 species
UUUAACUGAAGAGUUUGAUCAUGGCUCAGAUUGAACGCUGGCGGCAGGCUUAACACAUGCAAGUCGAGCGGGGGAAGGUAGCUUGCUACUGGACCUAGCGGCGGACGGGUGAGUAAUGCUUAGGAAUCUGCCUAUUAGUGGGGGACAACAUCUCGAAAGGGAUGCUAAUACCGCAUACGUCCUACGGGAGAAAGCAGGGGAUCUUCGGACCUUGCGCUAAUAGAUGAGCCUAAGUCGGAUUAGCUAGUUGGUGGGGUAAAGGCCUACCAAGGCGACGAUCUGUAGCGGGUCUGAGAGGAUGAUCCGCCACACUGGGACUGAGACACGGCCCAGACUCCUACGGGAGGCAGCAGUGGGGAAUAUUGGACAAUGGGGGGAACCCUGAUCCAGCCAUGCCGCGUGUGUGAAGAAGGCCUUAUGGUUGUAAAGCACUUUAAGCGAGGAGGAGGCUACUUUAGUUAAUACCUAGAGAUAGUGGACGUUACUCGCAGAAUAAGCACCGGCUAACUCUGUGCCAGCAGCCGCGGUAAUACAGAGGGUGCGAGCGUUAAUCGGAUUUACUGGGCGUAAAGCGUGCGUAGGCGGCUUAUUAAGUCGGAUGUGAAAUCCCCGAGCUUAACUUGGGAAUUGCAUUCGAUACUGGUGAGCUAGAGUAUGGGAGAGGAUGGUAGAAUUCCAGGUGUAGCGGUGAAAUGCGUAGAGAUCUGGAGGAAUACCGAUGGCG